rnacentral:rRNA from 1 species
CCUACGGGAGGCAGCAGUGAGGAAUAUUGGUCAAUGGACGAGAGUCUGAACCAGCCAAGUAGCGUGAAGGAUGACUGCCCUAUGGGUUGUAAACUUCUUUUAUAUGGGAAUAAAAUGUUCCACGUGUGGGAUUUUGUAUGUACCAUAUGAAUAAGGAUCGGCUAACUCCGUGCCAGCAGCCGCGGUAAUACGGAGGAUCCGAGCGUUAUCCGGAUUUAUUGGGUUUAAAGGGAGCGUAGGUGGAUUGUUAAGUCAGUUGUGAAAGUUUGCGGCUCAACCGUAAAAUUGCAGUUGAAACGUGCAGUCUUGAGUACAGUAGAGGUGGGCGGAAUUCGUGGUGUAGCGGUGAAAUGCUUAGAUAUCACGAAGAACUCCGAUUGCGAAGGCAGUUCACUGGACUGCAACUGACACUGAGGCUCGAAAGUGUGGGUAUCAAACAGGAUUAGAUACCCCUGUAGUC